rnacentral:rRNA from 1 species
AUGGCGACGGAAGACGAAGCGCGAGAAGCGGCAGAUGGGGAGGAAAUUCAAGUGGAAGCUGGGGAUCUAGGAACAACCCAUUUGCAAAUGAACCUAGACAGCAAGCUUUCAUCUCAUGGGGAGAUGAAGGACGAGGCAACAGCCAUGGAUUCAACUGAAGGAAUGAAGGUUACAGAGGAUCAAGUUUUAGAAAGAGCACCCUCUGUAGUCGAAAUUCCUCAAGAAGAUACCCCAAAUGGUACACAUGCUUCUCUGAAUGGUCAUAUGAAAGAAGGGAAGAUCGCUAAUGAGAAGCCACAAGAAAAUGGUCAGAAAGGUAACGAGCAGGUAGAAGCUUCACCAGAUGGAAUAAGCACCGAUCAGAGCAGCACAAGUAAUGGCGAAGAGGCAAUUGAUUCUUUAGGCCAUGUUGAGAACACUGCAGAAGAUACCAGCCUUCUAAAACAUGAUAAUGAAGAGCCAAAAGAACAUUGUCAACAAGAUGUAGAAGGUGCUGCAAUAGAGAGCAAAAUGGUGCACAAAGACACACUGCAGCCUGACAAUGAUGUUGAGCCAACAAUUGAUGCUCAACAAGGCCACAAUCUGGAACCAGAAGAAGUAACUGAGGACACACAACCCGCAACCGUGCCAUGUAUUCCUGGUGAAGAGGUUGUAGCUGAAGCACCUGCUGGAGUCCAAACUUCUUUGGAGCCUAAUGUGGAUGAGCCUGACGCCCUUCCGAAUACUAGUGGUGGUGAUCAAGAAGUGCUGAACCAAGAAUCAACAGAAGAAACCAGUGACCCUCUGCCUGAAAAAACUGAAGAAACUUCUCAUGAGAGCAAUGUGUCCACCUCUGAGGAGACAACUCCAGAACAUGAUGCAGUGACAAGGGAGCCAGCUCUUGAUGUUCAAGAAGUGCAAAACCAGGGAUUAGCAGAAGAAAUAGCAGAUGCCAAAGAAGUUGAUACUGAGCAAACAGUUCACCAAAGUGGUAUUGCUUCUGAGGAGGCAACUCCAGAAGAUAAUGCAACAAUCACUGAACCAAGUUCUGACCUCCAACAUUUAAAUAAUGUGGAGUCAGAAGAAAUAAAGGCUCUUGAAGAUGCCAAAGCUGAAGAAACCUCCGAUCAAAGCAAUGUGACAAUUGCUGAAGAUGCAACCGAAGAUAAGGAGGCAAUAGAAGAUAUGCAGCCAGUUCAAGGGUUGGAAGAAGAAGAACCUCAGAACACUGGAACUGUCGACAUGGAUGAAGCUUCCAAUCAACCACAUGCUGAUGUCAUCAAUAACCUUGCAGAAGGAGACAGUGUACCAGCAUGUGAGCCCCAGGUGAUAGGAUUAAAAGAAGAGGUGAAGGACACUGGAGCCACUGAAACUCAAGAAAUCACUCAACAAAGUGCUGCUGCUUCAGAGGAGCUAGUAACAGAAGAUAAUUCUACGGCAAUUGAGCCAUCGAAUGAUGAUAUCCAGCAAACCCUGGAACAAGGAUCAGCUGAAGUUAAGCACGCAGAAGUUUCUGAGACUCAAGAAAUCUGCCAUGAAAGAACUAUUUCUGCUCCUGAGGAGGACUCUGUAAAAGAUGAUGUAACAGCAGAAGUACCAAGCUGUGAUGCCCAAGAGGUAGAAAAUGUAGCAUCAGUAGAAGAAAUCAAGGAGAACACAGCUGAGAAUAUCGUCGAAACCUCUAGUGCGGCAACUGUUGAAGAGGCAGAUCAAGAAAACAAUGUGCUAACAAGUGAAGAUGUGCCUGAACAGCAAAUACGGGGGCUUGAAACAGAAGAAAUACAGAACACUGAACCUGUUGAAACAGAAGAAGCUUCUGACCUAAGGCAUCCUGCUCUCUUGAAUGACGCAGCUCAAGAAGAUAUUAUACCGAGUGAUGUGCCAAAGACUGAAUCAACAGUAAGCGUGGAGGAUACUGAAGCCAUUAAAACUGAAGCUCUCCCUCAGGAAAGCAAUGUUUCCAUUUCUGAGGAGCCUGCUUCAGAACAAAAUAUAACAGCACGUGAAGUAAGUUGUGAUGAUCUUGCCAGAGAGGCAGCUGUUGAUAUGCAAUCAGCGCAGGAGCUACAGUCAGAAAAGAAGAAGAAUGCUGAAUUUACUGAAGUGAGUGAAGCAUCUGGUGAAAUGGAUGCUGCCGUCAUUGAGAACCCAACUCAUGAAGAUAACCUAACCAUAAGUGAGUCGCUUGUGAUGGAAUCAGCAGAAGUGAGCAGCAAUGAAGCCACUGAAGGCCAAGAAAUGCCUCAAAGUGAUGCUACUCAGUCAGAAGAUCACAAAACAGAAGAAAAUAUGGCAGUGAGUGAACCACAGAUCCUGGAACCAGAACCUGCUGAAGAAAUGAGAGACAGUGAAGCCACUAAGCCUCGAGCUAUCUCGCAAGAAAGCAUGUCUGUUCCAAAAGAUGAAACAGCAAAAGAAGCAGCUUCUGAUAUCAAAGAAGUACAAACCGAAGAGCUCAUAGAGAAACCUGAUGAUGUGAAAACUGAAGAAAUAUCCAACCAGAACAGUGGGACUAUCGUUGGAGAAACAGCACAGGAAGACAAGUUACUAUCAAGUGACCCAACUGGUGAUGUACAAGCAAAGAAGCUCGAAUCACAAAAGAUUGGUAACAGUGAGGAUGUUCAAAUUGAAGAAGCUUCCCAUCAAACAGAUGCUGAAGAAAAUUUGACAGAAAAUGAGCCACAAAUAACAACAGAAGAUAACACAGCAAUCCUGACAGAUGUUAACAUUCAACAGCUUCAAGAGCCAGAACCGGUUGAAUUCAGGGACACUGAAGCUACUGAACCUCAAGGCAUCUCCCCAUCUCACACUGUCUCUGGUUCUGAGCAGUCCACACCAGAAGAUAACGAGAUGACAGAACCCAGUCCUGCCACUCAAGCAGAGAAUUUAGAAUCAGCAAUAGUGAGGGAGGAAAGUAAAGAUGUGAAAAGCACUGAUGCAAUUGCUGAGGAGGAAACCCCCAGAGAACACGUACAGGAAUCUGGGGCACAUGUUGAUAUACCACCAGUGGAGAAUACUGAGCCCGUUGAGGUGCAUGACAAUGUAAUGACAGAUGACCUGCCAGCAGAAGAGGUGAAGGACAAUGAAGCCAUAGAGGUUGCAGAAAUCCACUAUGAGAGCCCUGUUGCAAAUAUUGGUGAUCUCACUGAAGAUGCCAAAAGCAAUGUUGCUCUUGAAGAUGAGGCAGCUCCUGAUGAAGAUGUAAAAGCAACAGAGGCAACUGCUGCUAUACCACAACCACAAGAGCCAGAAUUAGAAGAGAUCAAGAAUAGUGAAUCUGUUGAAGUGGAAGAUAAUAUAAUAGCAAGGGACCUGCCAGCAGAAGAGAUCAAGGACAUUGAAGCCAUGGAAACUGAGAUGAUCCCUCAUGAGAGUACUGGUGCAAACAUUAGCGAGCUCAUCAAUGAUGUGAAAAGCAAUGUUGCCCUUGCAGACGAGGCAGCUCCUGAUGAACAUGCAAAAGCAACAGAGGCAACUGGUGCUAUACCACAACCGCAAGAGCCAGACCUAGAAGAGAUCAAGAAUAGUGAACCUGCUGAAUUGGAAGGAAACAUAUCAGCAAAUGAUCUGCCAGCAGAAGAGGUGAAGGAUACUGAAGCCGUGGAGACUGAAGCAAUCAACGAGAGCACUGAUGCAAACAACAGUGAGCUCCCUGAAGAUGUGAAAAACAAUGUUGCUCUUGCAGACGAGGCCGCUCCUGAAGAACAUGUAACAGUAGCUGAUGAUACAGUUGAUAUGCUACAAGCACAAGAGCCAGAAGUAGAAGAGAUGAAGAAUACUGAACCUGUUGAAGUGGAAGAAAACGUAUCAGCAAGUGAACUGCCAGCAGAAGAGGUGAAGGACACUGAAGCAAUCAACAAGAGUGCUGAUGCAAACACCACCGAGCUCACCGAGGAGGUGAAAUGCAAUGUUGCUCUUGCAGCCGAGGAACCUCAUGAAGAGCAUGUAACAGUAGCUGAGACAGCAGUUGAUAUACCACAACCACAGGAGCUGGAACUAGAAGAGAUCAAGAACACUGAACCUGUUGAGGUGGAAGAAAACAUGUCAGCAAGUGACAUGCAGGCAGAAGAGGUGAAAGACACUGAAGCAAUCAAUGAGAGCACUGAUGCGAACAUCAGUGAGCUCACUGAGGAUGUCAAAACUAAUGUUGCUCUUGCAGACGAGGCAGCUCCUGAAGAACAUGUGAUAGCAACUGAGGCAACAGUUGACAUACCACAAGCACAAGAUCCAGAACUAGAAGAAAUCAAGAAUACUGAAACUGUUGAAGUGGAAGAAAACAUAUCAGCAAGUGACCUGCCGGCAGAAGAAGUGAAGGACGCUGAAGCCAAAGAAACAGAAGCAAUAACCGAGAGCACUGAUGCAAACAUCAGUGAACUCACUGAGGAUGUGAAAAGUAAUGUUACUCGUGCAGAUGAGGCAGCUCCAGAAGAGCAUGUAAUAGCAGCUGAGGCAGCAGUUGAUAUACCACAAGCACAAGUGUCAGAACUACAAGAGCUCGAGAAUGUUGAACCUGACGAGGUGGAAGAAAACAGAUCAGCAGGUGACCUGCCAGCAGAAGAGGUGAAGGAAAUUGAAGCCAAGGAAACUGAAGCAAUUAACGAGAGCACUGAUGCAAACAUCAGCGAGCUCACUGGCGAUGUGACAAGCAAUGUUACUCAUGUAGACGAGGCAGCUCCUGAAGAGCAUGUAACAGCAACUGAGGCAACGGUUGAUAUUCCGCGAGCACAAGAGCCAGAACUAGAAGAGAUUGAGAAUGUUGAACCUGUUGAGGUGGAAGAAAACACAUCAGCUAAUGACAUGCCGGCAGAAGAGCUGAAGGACACUGAACCCAAGGAAACUGAAGCAAUCAACAAGAGCACUGAUGCAAACAUCAGUGAGCUCACUGAAGAUAUGAAAAGGAAUGUUGCUCUUAUAGAUGAGGCAGCUCAUGAAGAACAUGUAACAGUAGCUGAGACAACAGUCGAUAUACCACAAGCACAAGAGCCGGAGCUAGAAGAGAUCAAGAAUACUGAAGCCGGUGACCUGUCAGCAGAAGAGGUCAAGGAAAUUGAACCCAAGGAAACUGAAGCAAUCAGCGAAAGGACUGAUGCAAUCAUCAGCGAGCUCAAUGAGGAUGUAAAAAGCAAUGUUGCUCUUGCAGACGAGGAACCUCAUGCAGAGCAGGUAACAGUAGCUGAGAGAACAGUUGACAUACCACAAACCCAGGAGCCAGAACUAGAAGAGAUCAAGAAUACUGAACCUGUUGAGGUGGAAGAAAAUAGAUCAGCACGUUACCUGCAAGCAGAAGAGGUGAGGGAAACUGAAGCAAUCAAUGAGAGCCCUGAUGCAAACAUUAGCGAGCUCACUGAGGAUGUGACAAGCAAUGUUGCUCCUGCGGACGAGGCAGCUCCUGAAGAGCAUGUAAUAGCAACUGAGGCAACGGUUGAUAUACCAGAAGCACAAGAGCCAGAACUAGAAGAGACCAAGAGUACUGAACCUGCUGAAGUAGAAGAAAACAUAUCAGCAAAUGAUCUGCCAGCAGAAGAGGUGAAGGAUACUGAAGCCGUGGAGACUGAAGCAAUCAACGAGAGCACUGAUGCAAACAACAGUGAGCUCCCUGAAGAUGUGAAAAACAAUGUUGCUCUUCCAGGCGAGGCCGCUCAAGAAGAACAAGUAACAGUAGCUGAUAAUACAGUUGAUAUGCCACAAGCACAAGAGCCAGAAGUAGAAGAGAUGAAGAAUACUGAACCUGUUGAAGUAGAAGAGAACAUAUCAGCAAGUGACCUGCCAGCAGAAGAGGUGAAGGACACUGAAGCAAUCAACGAGAGUGCUGAUGCAAACAUCAGCGAGCUCACAGAGGAGGUGAAAUGCAAUGUUGCUCUUGCAGACGAGGAACCUCAUGAAGAGCAUGUAACAGUAGCUGAGACAGCAGUUGAUAUACCACAACCACAGGAGCCGGAACUAGAAGAGAUCAAGAAUACUGAACCUGUUGAUGUGGAAGAAAACAUGUCAGCAAGUGACAUGCAGGCAGAAAAGGUGAAAGACACUGAAGCAAUCAAUGAGAGCACUGAUGCGAACAUCAGUGAGCUCACUGAGGAUGUCAAAACUAAUGUUGCUCCUGCAGACGAGGCAGCUCCUGAAGAACAUGUGAUAGCAACUGAGGCAACAGUUGACAUACCACAAGCACAAGAUCCAGAACUAGAAGAAAUCAAGAAUACUGAAACUGUUGAAGUGGAAGAAAACAUAUCAGUAAGUGAUCAGCCGGCAGAAGAGGUGAAGGACCCUGAAGCCAAAGAAACAGAAGCAAUAACCGAGAGCGCUGAUGCAAACAUCAGUGAACUCACUGAGGAUGUGAAAAGUAAUGUUACUCGUGCAGAUGAGGCAGCUCCAGAAGAGCAUGUAAUAGCAGCUGAGGCAGCAGUUGAUAUACCACAAGCACUAGUAUCAGAACUACAAGAGCUCAUGAGAGUUGAACCUGAUGAGGUGAAAGAAAACAGAUCAGCAUGUGACCUGCCAGCGGAAGAGGUGAAGGAAACUGAAGCAAUUAACGAGAGCACUGAUGCAAACAUCAGCGAGCUCACUGGCGAUGUGACAAGCAAUGUUACUCAUGUAGACGAGGCAGCUCCUGAAGAGCAUGUAACAGCAACUGAGGCAACGGUUGAUAUUCCGCGAGCACAAGAGCCAGAACUAGAAGAGAUUGAGAAUGUUGAACCUGUUGAGGUGGAAGAAAACACAUCAGUGAGUGACAUGCCGGCAGAAGCGGUGAAGGACACUGAAGCCAAGGAAACUGAAGCAAUCAACGAGAGCACUGAUGCAAACAUCAGUGAGCUCACUGAAGAUAUGGAAAGCAACGUUGCUCUUAUAGGUGAGGCAGCUCAUGAAGAACAUGUAACAGUAGCUAAGACAACAGUCGAUAUACCACAAGCACAAGAACCGGAGCUAGAAGAGAUCAAGAAUACUGAAGCAGGUGACCUGUCAGCAGAAGAGGUCAAGGAAAUUGAACCCAAGGAAACUGAAGCAAUCAGCGGAAGGACUGAUGCAAACAUCAGCGAGCUCAAUGAGGAUGUGAAAAGCAAUAUUGUUCUUGCAGAUGAGGAACCUCAUGCAGAGCACGUAACAGUAGCUGAGAGAACAGUUGACAUACCACAAGCACAGGAGCCAGAACCAGAAGAGAUCAAAAAUACUGAACCUGUUGAGGUGGAAGAAAAUAGAUCAGCAAGUGACCUGCAAGCAGAAGAGGUGAAGGAAACUGAAGCAAUCAAUGAGAGCCCUGAUGCAAACAUCAGUGAGCUCACUGAGGAUGUGACAAGCAAUGUUGCUCAUGCAGACGAGGCAGCUCCUGAAGAGCAUGUAAUAGCAUCCAAGGCAACAGUUGAUAUUCCACGAGCACAAGAGCGAGACCUAGAAGAAAUCAAGAAUACUGAACCAGUUGAAGUGGAAGAAUUCAUAUCAGCGAGUGACCUGCCGACAGAAGAGGUGAAGGAGACUGAAACCAAGGAAACUGAAGCAAUCAAUGAGAGCACUGAUCCAAACAUCAAUGAGCUCACUGAGGAUGUAAAAGGCAAUAUUGCUCAUGCAGAUGAGGCAGCUCCUGAAGAACAUGUAAUAGCAGCUGAGGCAACAGAUGAUAUACCACAAGCACAAGUGCCAGAACUAGAAGAGCUCAAGAAUACUGAACCUGUUGAGGUGGAAGAAAACAAAUCAGCAACUGACCUGCCAGCUGAAGAGGUGAAGGACACUGAAACCAUGGAAACUGAAGCAGUCCACAAGAGCGCUGAUACAAACAUCAGUGAGCUCACUGAAGAUGUUACUCUUGCGGAUGAGGCAGCUGCUGACGUACAAAUCGAUGUACCGCUAGCAAAGGAGCCAGCACUAGAAGAGAUGAAGAAUAUUGAACCUGUUGAAGCACAAGACGGUAUAACACCGGAUAAUGUCCCAGCAGAAGAGAUAAAUGACACUGAAGCCAUGGAGACUGGAGAAAUCCCUCAUGAGAGCACAGAUGACAGUUUAACAGCAAGUGCAGCACUUCCUGAUAUUCAACAAGUCCCAGAACAAGAAGCAGUCGAAGAUAAGGCAUGCACUGACACCACAGAAAACCAAGGGGAACCUCAACAAAGCAUUGUUUCUACUUCUGCUGAGCUUACUCCAACAGAAGAAGAAACAGCAGUAGUAAAGCAUACUCAAGAUACACAUGUACAGAAUGCCAGCAGUGAACCGGGAACUGACCCAAAUUUGCUUGUCCAAUCAGCACAUCAAUCAGAAUUGGCUGAAGACAGCAAGGGUCAACUUGUAAAGGCAGAAGAAACAGGCCAAAGUAAUGGUGCCACCCUUGAAGAACCAACUGCAGAAGACAAUGCUGCAAAUGAAAUCGGCCCGCUUGCUGAUUCUAAACAAGAGCGUGGACUAGAAUCAGUGGAAGAAAACAAAUGUAUUGAUGCUACUGAAGGUGAAGAAGCCUCCCAUUUAAGCCAAGAUCCUGGUUUAGAGGAGCCAGUUUCAGAACGUGAUAUAGCAACAGUUGAGCCAACUUCUGAUAUUCAACAAGUAAAUGACAUGGAUGAAGCAGAAGAAAUCACGGCCACUGAAGCCAUCAACGGGGAAGAAAUUUCCUCUCAAAAAACAGAAGUUGCUACUUUGGAGGAACCAUCUCCAACAGAUAAUGGAACGGCGCCAGAACAAAAUCCUGUUGAGUUAGACGAAGAGAACUUGGGAAAUGAAAUCAGCAAUGCAAUCUUGGCGGAUGAAAACAUCAAAGAGGAAAUACAAGAGCCAAGAGAACAAAAGGACGAAUCAUCUGACUUGGGUGAAAAAACUGCUUUCACAACUCACAAGGACGAGAGCGCUACUGAGGAAGAUGUUGUACAAAUUUCUGGUGAAGAUACAGUAGGGACUUCAAACAAUAUUGAGCAAAUCAAAGAACUGCCAAAAUCUGUAAUUGAACAUAGUGGUGACCAUACCGAUGAUCAAGAUGACGAGCAACUUCACAAUGUGGAGCUUCAAAUGCAGGUGUGUGAGCGGUCAGUGGAUUUAACCACUGAGCAGCCAGAUGACCACGUGCAAAAGGUUAACUUGGAUCAGCAGAAGAAAGAAGAUGAGGCGAUUGAAAAGCAAACGGAAGAAAUACAGACAGAUGAGCAGAAUCGUGAUGACAGUAGGGCUGAUUUCACCAGAGAGACAAUAUUGGAGCCCCAGAGCAACGAAAUUGUCACGACAAAUAGGAAAGACGACGCUGAUGUGUUUGAGGCUGAACAAACAGAGGCAGUGACUACUGAAAUGCUCAAGAAUGAACAAACCCUACAUAUAGCCCAAGAAUCCAUUCCAAGCAUUACAGAUGCGAAGGUUGAGAACUCCACGGAAAUAGAAGAAACAACUGCACAAGAAGAUGCACCCAACAACACUGGCACUUUAUAUACUGAUGCUGAUGCUGAAAAAUAUAAUGAAGAUGAGAAGGAGAAUACAGAAAUAGAUGCAGCAGUAGCAAAAACUUCUACUGAUGAACAGGAUGGAACAACUGAUGAAACUAAAAAUGAAGAGGUUGAAAAUUAUUUGGGAUUACCCGUCGAGAAGGAUCUUCAGAAAGCAUCUGACCUAGCUCCUUCAAAUGAAGAAAUGCUAGAGAAUGAUCCUACAGUGGUUCCUCAGAAUGUUGAAUCCAGAGUGCACUCCGAAGAGAAAGAAUGCAUAAACAACGCCAAUGAUGGUAUGCAGGCCAUUCAAGCAUCAGAAGAAGAGAUCGUUGAUGAAGUGGAAAAGAAGGAAGAAAUACAAAAUGAAGACACCAAUGUUAAUCAUGACGAAAUUGAGACCAAACUUGUAGAUGAAGAGGCGUCUGGACUGCAGGACUUGAGCUUUCAUCCAAAGGUUGUAGAUGACAAGUUGGCAACAGAGCAGAAUGGUGCAGAAGUUGAAACUGACUCGAAUGAGGAAAUGGCGACUGGCUAUACAGCAGUCACUGAAUCAGUCAAACGCGGUGAAGCAAUCUACGAUAAGGCUGGUGGAUCUGAUGUGGCACUAUCUGAUGAAAAUCUCGAGACCAUUGAGGACAACAGAAGGAAUCUUGAGGCUUCACCUGCAGUUACAGCAUCAGGAGAAAGUAUGAACGAAGACAAUGAACAUCAUAAGCCUGCUCUUCCUGCACACUCCGCCGUGGAUGGAAAUGAAACCGAACAGGCAUCUGGCUUAGAGGUAACAGAAAGAGAGUUGUUUCCAGAGAAGCCACUCCCCACCGAAUCAGAAGAGCAAGAAGAGAGUCAAAUAACCAAAGAACAAGAUGGAGAGAACGUACAAGAGCAAGAAACUGAUGACACAGAGAAAGAAGAAAAAGAAGCUGAACAGAGUUAUUUGCCUGUCUCCCAUUUUCUGAUGAACCUGAUAAUGGGAAAAGAGAGCAAUGAGCCAGAUGGAAAUUCGGAAUUUAAGGCUGAAAAGAAGCAAGAAGAAACCACAAAAGAUGGCAGUUCUUUGAUCACCUCACAACAGGAAGAAAGCUUGGUGCCAAUCCCAACAGAAAAUAAGGUGGACAAUGAACGCAUCUUUGAACAAGGAAAACAUAAUAUAGAAGGCUCUGAAGAAACACAUGAUAUCGAGCUGGAAAAGGAUGAAGAGCUCAAUAGGGACACUCAUGAUUUGGAAGCACCAGUAUGCCAAAACAAUGUCCAGGGUGAAACUUCUAGUGAAAUGGUACCUGGUGGAUCUGGCCUGACUACAGAAAUGGAAACUAGAGACAUCAAGCUGGGUGAAAAGGCAACCAAUUCUGUUUGUCAGGAACAUAUGGAAGCGACAACACAGAUUGAAGAAGGAAGCUUGAAGAGCAACCUUCAUGACAUAACAAACCCAAAGGUUUCUCAAGAGGACACAUUAGAGGAAGGAAUAACAGACCUUCAGCACAAGCCUUUACCUGAAAAUAGAAGUUCUGAUGCAGUGUCCGGGCAAACACUCUUGUUGACAGAACCAAAUAUGGGUGAUGAAAAGAAUUUGCCUAAUGACACUGACGAUCUUCAAAGUCCCCUGAGCACAAAAAGAGAAGAGUCCAAUGAAUCUUCCAACACUGAGGCCGAAAGUACUGUAGAGGCAGAACUGGAGAAUGGAGUAGACAAGGAAGAAAAGAAUCAGCAGACAACCACCACAGGUGGAGUUACAGAAGAACAGAUAGAAAAUGAGCAUGAUAUCUCGCAGAAAAGCACAGAAGCAAUAUCUGAUGAGCAGAAGGGUGAAAUUACUGAACCAGUUAUGGGCAAUGAGAUAAUUUUGGUUCCUGAAAAGGGGAUUUCUGCAGGCUCAGAAUGCAAGGACGAAAAACAAAGCUCUAAGUUCUCAAACAGUGAACUAGACAACUCUGAGAAAGCUUUGGAAAUUCAGUUAGAUGGUUCCAGCUUGCAUAUAGACCAAGAUAAGCAAGAUGAAUCUGCAGGCGACCAAAUUGUGAUGGAGAAGAACAACCUGCUAGACAAGCCAGGAGAAUCUGAUUUGCAGAAGCUGCAGGAGAUGGAAGUUGCACAAGAAUCUCCUGAAGGAUCUGAUGAAGGUGAUCAGAUUUCUUUGCCCAUAAGAGAGCCUGUGAUCAAAGAAGUGAAUGUAAACAAAACUGUCGAUAGCCAUGUGCAAACAGUGAACACACAAUCACAGGAAGAGCAAGAAACAUUUAAUUCACAGGUUCAUCAGCAUGAUCUCGAUGUGGCUUCACCAGAAGAAGCUCCUGAGGCUGAAGAAAAAAUUGUGGAGUCAAAGCCAGAAUUCAGCACAGAUGAAGAACAAAGUCCAAAGAAAGAUGAAUCAAAUAUGGCAGGAGAGAAAACUUAUGAUGAGAAGACAAAGGGUGCACAGGAAGCUAAGAGUCUCCCUGAUGAAGCGAAAACCAAAGUUGAAGAACAAGGAGUAGUACAGAAGGCGUCACACAAUCAGAAACGUGAUCUCGAUGUGGUUUCACUAACAGAAGCUCCUGGGAGUGAAGAAACUGUUGUGGAUAUAAAAGAGCCAGAGUUCAGCACAGAUGAAGAAGAAAGUCCAAAGAAAGAUGUAUCAAACAUGGCAGAAGAGAAGAGUUAUGACAAGAAGACAAAUGGUGACGAGGAAGCUAAGAAUUUCACUGAUGAUGCACCAACGAAAAUUGAAGACCGAGAGGCAGGGCAGAAGGCAUCACCUAAAAAGCAUAAUAUCUUAUCUGGUGUCGGAUCAAAGGUAAAGCACCAACUAGCAAAAGUGAAGAAAGCUAUUAUAGGCAAGCCUGGGCACACAAAAUCUGAAUCACCAAAAGCUUGA